UACGGAGGGUGCAAGCGUUAUCCGGAUUUAUUGGGUUUAAAGGGUCCGUAGGCGGAUCUGUAAGUCAGUGGUGAAAUCUCACAGCUUAACUGUGAAACUGCCAUUGAUACUGCAGGUCUUGAGUGUUAUUGAAGUAGCUGGAAUAAGUAGUGUAGCGGUGAAAUGCAUAGAUAUUACGUAGAACACCAAUUGCGAAGGCAGGUUACUAAGCAACAACUGACGCUGAUGGACGAAAGCGUGGGGAGCGAACAGG
rnacentral:rRNA from 1 species